UGCAAUGCUGGAUCAUGAGGCAGAUGCAAUCUAUUACUGUUGUGGUAUGAACACAUCUCUUCAUAGAAUAGAUGUUUUGAGCUUAAGAUUUUCCUAACAUCAUCUUUAUCUUUAUCUGUUAGAUAAUCUAUAACAUCCAAAAGUGCAGGGUUCUCUACAACUUGGCAAGAAGUGCCCCUCCCAAGCAUGUCAUUGAGCCUUUUAUACCUUUUGUUAAGGUCAUUGAAUUUAUCCUCGCACUGCUGCGGUGAAACAUGGAAACCUCUUUCAGCCAUGACCUUGGAAACCAAUUUCCACUUGCCCUUUUUCUGUAAGACUGCUAAUUUCCUUCUCAUCCCACCUUCACUAUCUGAAGACGUAUCCUCGCCUAUGUAAGAUACCGCAGUUAUCAAAAGCCUCACCAUCUUAUCAGUCCACUUAACACGCUGCCAUGCUGACCCCUUUUUCCCUCUACUUGCUUCAUUGUGACCAUCAGCACCAUCUUCUGUAUAGCUCCGCUCAUCCUCGUCACUUGCCGGAUUUUUCCCCUUAUCUCCCUUGUUGUAAUUAGUCAUGGAAAUGGUUUGAUCAGAGUUGUCCACCGUUCCUAUGGUAAGAGGGAAAGCCUCAUGAACUGAGGGAUGGAUUGAGGAGCCUUGGCGAUGACCAGGGUGUUGUUGCUGGUUUACAGUAUGUGCGUACGGAGCUUGAUGACGAAGUCUAAUUGAUCCUUGCAAGUCAAGACCUCCAAAAGGAGCCCCACCAGGCAUCAUACCUCCUUGUGACAAAUUCCCUUCCAUGUUCUUUUCCAGAACGAAUUAGAUCAUACCCAUGAGCCCAUUUUCCUAAAACCUUAUUUACUGUUCAUUUUUCUCUCUCUGAAAGCCAAUUAACAUGCUUUAUGCUCUUAUCAAGCUAAGCAAACUCAUUUCUCAUUUUCACCUUUUUAAGCAUCUCAUCAAAUUCUCCAGCUACAUAGAUCCUCAAACAUGUAUAUUCAAUUCGCACCAGGCAAACAAACACAAACCCUUUUCAGAACUCAAUACCAAGC
rnacentral:misc_RNA from 1 species